rnacentral:tRNA from 1 species
UAUAUUUUGGUGUAAGGAUGCACGCAAAGUUUUGAUCUUUGAGGAUUUAGUUUAAAUCUAAAAAAUAUAA